CUUCAUUGUGGAGAUAAUACUGUGUGAUUGUUUUGCUUCUGGUAAAUCUUUUAUCUAUUUUCCGUCUGUUCCAAUUUGAAUUCCCUUUUUGGAUUUUAUAUGCCGUUGAUUUUACUAAUUAAAGUAUAUAAUUCCUUUGACACCCUCCGUGUAUAUAUAGUGGCAAUUUUACUUAAAAUUGUCUUAAACCUAGACAUGGAUGAUCAUAACCUUGAUGUACAUGUGAUUUGCAAUUAGAUGCGUUGUCUUCUAUAGUUAUUUGUUUGCCCUGAGGUUUUAUACGAUAUACUUAGUUUCUUUUCUCUACUUCAGACCAAGUAGUGCAGUGCACGGUAGAUAUGACAGAUUAUAUAGUGUGAUGAAUUGCUUGCUACUACAGAUCUUUUUAUCGACAGAUAUACAUUGUAUUAAUCGUGAAUUCCUUCGUGUGACAAUAGUUGUGCUUUUGUGUCUGCAUUAUUUAAUUUGGUUAUGGUUUAAUUUAAUAAGAUUAUUAUUAGAGGUUGAGCUGUAUUUAAGGUUUAAUACAUUACAUAAGUGGGUUAGGUUUUUCAACUUUAAAAUUGUUUUGUUGUAAACAUGCAGCGCCCAUGCUCACAAAGUCCUAAACUAAUUUUAUUAAAUUAAGGAGUUGGCAAACCACUUACAAAAUUAUGGACUCAAGGAAUUAAAAAAACUGGUCCAUUUCCUACUAUCCUAACCCGUCUCCCCCAACCAUUUUCUGCCAUCCAUUAGGUCCUUUAAAUAAUUAAUGUCUUAAGUCUUGCAUGACCAAACUUUCCACUUCCCAUUUUGGGGAGAGAGAGAGAGAGAGAGAGAGAGAGAGAGAGAGAGAGAGAGAGAGAACCAUAUGGGGUAUUCAGGAUUUCAGGGAGAGGGGUAGGGGUCAUGAGCAGAGGCUCAGUGUUGUGGGGUGAAAAGUUAUUUGAAAAUAAUGGAAAGAACAUUUUCUGCAUCGUGAUUCUUUAAUUGAUAAUUCAUACUUGGAUAGCUACAUCAGCACAAUUGGAGUUGAAUUUAUUAAAUGUCCUAUUUACAGCAAAGCCGUCAGGUUUGGGCUGAUAUUGGGGCUGGGUUGGAAGGGCAAUUUUGUCCUGUGCGUUUGAGACAGAUUGGGGUGGGUUUAGGUUUGCUGUCAUUCAGUGAGUGCUUUCGGGAAUGGGAGGCCAUGCCUCCGAUAGGGAGAGAGACAGAGCGAGAGAGAGGGAGCGGGAGGAGUGGGGAUCUCAGCACCAUUUCUGCAGAUCCUCGAUUUCAUUUGGCUUCGUUUUCCCUUUCUGAAACCCUAGCAGCCACAACACCAUCUUUGGAAUAGCAUCGGCUUCCUGCUUCCUAAAAUCAAAACCACUCAAAGUGGCCUUCAUUUCUGUAACUCGAGAGCUUCGGUGAGAUGGAGGAGAGGAGCAUGGAGAUGGGCUCGAGUCCGCAAACGACGGAAGAGAUCUUGAGGUUCAUGGAUUGUUAAGGAGAGUGUGGGAAAGAAAGGGUGCCUCACUGCUUAGGCACUGGAAAUCAAUUAUUUCCAUCGGAAGAACUACUUGGAGUACGUUUGGGAGCAAGCUGAAAUUGAUAUCAUUGAGCACAAGACAAGAAAAAGCCUCCAUUUCCAUCUCCUAAAAGCAGCAGUAGAAAAUUAAACAAGCAUUUUCAUACAGCUGGAGGCUGUGGUCACUGCCUGACAUCAAAGACUACUUAGAAGUGGCAGCCUUUAAGUCCGUUCAAUUUUUAAUGCGCAAGAUGCAAGACAACAGAAAAAUCCGAAGAACAGAGGAGUUUACUAUCGGCCGGGACAUAAAAUAUGAAGAGAUGAAACGUUUUCAUCAACAUGAUUCUUGGAAAUAAGAAGCGUGCUUAUGUUUUUGUCACAGAUCCUGAAGAAAACUAUAGAUCUGCAUGCGUUUGUAUCUUCAUAGAAUUCUAACUGUUGUUCUGGUGAGAAAAUAAUCUCAAAACAUAUGAUGUGAAGUGGACUUGGCUAAUAAUUCAUUUUGAUUAUGUAUAUGCAGAAUUAGUAGCUGAGAAAAUAGAAUGGGCAAGUAUACAAAUGGAUUUGAUUUGAUUCUUGGAGCUCACAUAUAUCUCCACAAUUGUUAAUUUUUAUCAUGCGUUGGUGGUGGGUACCUGAUACGGUACCUCUGGCUCUCUUCUUCACUGCAACAAGUUGCCAAAAAACCUUUACAGAAAUGGAUGCAUCCAUUCUUUUCCCUGGUACAGUUUGCUGCAGCCAACGUCGAAUUCUAUCUAAUUAGGGAAAAGGUCCAACAAAUUUCCACUAGAUCCAUCAAGCGCAUGAUUAAGCUUUUGAAAUUUCUGUGAAAUUGAAGGUCAGUAGAUCUCUUAAAUUGAUGAGGGGGCUACAAUUCGUACAAGGAAACUAGCCAGAGAUAUGCUACUAUUUUGGAAGAGAGUGGAUAAAGAGAUGGACUUAUCGAAUGAAGGCAGCAGCAAGGGAAUUUGAGCCUUGGCCUGUAGAGAUACGAUUUUGUAAGGAAGCUAGGUUUGAACCCCUUACUUGCCACUCAUCAGUGGUUGCUAUUUCUGGAACUUCUACUUGAAUUUCUAUGAUCUGAUUUUAUAGUUUAUUUCUCUUGCAUUUUGUGAAUCUCAGUGAUGGGCGCAAGAGCUGAUGAAGAGACAAUUGAAAGAUUAAUUGAGACGGGAGACGGUGAACAAAUUUUCCAGAAGGCAAUCCAAGAACAAGGGGGAGGCUAGGUUUGUCAAAUAUCCUUUUUUAUUCUCUGCCCCUAAAUAAGCACUUUUUACAAUCGAAAUUGUGCAUUCUCUCACAAACUUGACACAUUUUUUGACAUCUUAAACAAUUAAUUUUAAGCUCCUAACUCUUCUAGCUUGGGUUGUUGAAAACUUAAUUUUCUGAUUAAGAUUGAUCAUUUCCAAAAUUGUGUAUCAAAUUGUAGAUAAUGGACACUCUGACCGAAAUUCAAGAGCGACAUGAUGCUGUUAGAGAUCUUGAGAGGAAGCUUCUCAAUUUACAACAGGUUUAGUUUGAUUCCAACUCCUUUUUGAAUAAAAAAAUUGGUUGUUUUUUUAUUUCUAUAGGGGAGUUGCAGGUGUCCGUGUCAGAUUCAUAAGGAAAAAGAACAAUUUUUGUGGAUAUAUUGAAACAUUCUGCUUGAAUCAGGACUUAUCGAAUCAAGGCAGCUGCAAGGAAAUUUGAGCUUUGGCAUGUAUAGAUACGAUUUUGCAACGAAGCUAG